rnacentral:rRNA from 1 species
CGUGGCGCAGCUACACAUGCAGUCGAGCGGCAGCGGAAGUAGCUUGCUACUUUGCCGGCGAGCGGCGGACGGGUGAGUAAUGUCUGGGAAACUGCCUGAUGGAGGGGGAUAACUACUGGAAACGGUAGCUAAUACCGCAUAACGUCGCAAGACCAAAGAGGGGGACCUUCGGGCCUCUUGCCAUCAGAUGUGCCCAGAUGGGAUUAGCUAGUAGGUGGGGUAACGGCUCACCUAGGCGACGAUCCCUAGCUGGUCUGAGAGGAUGACCAGCCACACUGGAACUGAGACACGGUCCAGACUCCUACGGGAGGCAGCAGUGGGGAAUAUUGCACAAUGGGCGCAAGCCUGAUGCAGCCAUGCCGCGUGUAUGAAGAAGGCCUUCGGGUUGUAAAGUACUUUCAGCGGGGAGGAAGGUGUUGAGGUUAAUAACCUCAGCAAUUGACGUUACCCGCAGAAGAAGCACCGGCUAACUCCGUGCCAGCAGCCGCGGUAAUACGGAGGGUGCAAGCGUUAAUCGGAAUUACUGGGCGUAAAGCGCACGCAGGCGGUCUGUCAAGUCAGAUGUGAAAUCCCCGGGCUCAACCUGGGAACUGCAUUCGAAACUGGCAGGCUAGAGUCUUGUAGAGGGGGGUAGAAUUCCAGGUGUAGCGGUGAAAUGCGUAGAGAUCUGGAGGAAUACCGGUGGCGAAGGCGGCCCCCUGGACAAAGACUGACGCUCAGGUGCGAAAGCGUGGGGAGCAAACAAGAUUAGAUACUCUGGUAGUCCACGCCGUAAACGAUGUCGACUUGGAGGUUGUGCCCUUGAGGCGUGGCUUCCGGAGCUAACGCGUUAAGUCGACCGCCUGGGGAGUACGGCCGCAAGGUUAAAACUCAAAUGAAUUGACGGGGGCCCGCACAAGCGGUGGAGCAUGUGGUUUUAAUUCGAUGCAACGCGAAGAACCUUACCUACUCUUGACAUCCAGAGAACUUUCCAGAGAUGGAUUGGUGCCUUCGGGAACUCUGAGACAGUGCUGCAUGGCUGUCGUCAGCUCGUGUUGUGAAAUGGUGGGUUAAGUCCCGCAACGAGCGACAACCCUUUAUCCUUUGUGCCAGCGUUCGGCCGGAACCUCAAGGAACUGCCAGUGAUAAACCUGGAAGGAGGUGGGAAUGACCGUCAAGUCAUUCAUUGCCUCUUUUACC